UACGUAGGGGGCAAGCGUUGUCCGGAUUUAUUGGGCGUAAAGAGCUCGUAGGCGGUUCGAUAAGUCGGACGUGAAAUCUCCACGCUCAACGUGGAGGGGCCGUUCGAUACUGUCGUGACUCGAGUCCGGUAGGGGAGUGUGGAAUUCCCGGUGUAGCGGUGAAAUGCGCAGAGAUCGGGAGGAACACCCGUAGCGAAGGCGGCACUCUGGGCCGGUACUGACGCUGAGGAGCGAAGGCGUGGGGAGCAAACAGGG
rnacentral:rRNA from 1 species